AGAGAUCCCUUUGGACAAGUUCUGAGAAAUAGAACUAUUUCAUGUGACUGAGCACUCAACUACUUUAGCCAAUGGAGCUUGUGACCCAGUUGUGGGAGUGGAGUCAAGUUCCCUUUUAUUUCUUAGAGCGACUUUUUAAAAGGUCCUUCUUUCUAACUAAUCUGCCCUCUUGAAUUGGUGGUGUCUAAGGCCAUUCAUGUUGUGAUGGUCCAGCUGGUCUGGAAGAAAGCCUAGAGCCCCUUGUGACCUGAAUGCACCCACUUCCCAGACCACUCCCCUUCUGAGUCCUUGCCACAAUGACGAUGGAGAGACCACCCAACAGAUCUCCAGAUGAGGACACGUGAAGCUCACAGAGAUAGAAAGCAACUAGCCCAAGACUCAACAUUAGCAAAUGGAUUGGAUUCCAGGUUUGUGGACCCCAGAACCCAUUGCACUUUCCACCAU